CGGGGCAAGAGCCAGGCCUCGAU
rnacentral:siRNA from 1 species